rnacentral:lncRNA from 1 species
UAGGACAUUAUGGAAGGACAGUAAGAAAUCGCUUUCAUGCCCCGAAUUCAAGUUGAGUUGAAGUGAAAGACUGUAUAAUGAGGACAGAGUAAAAAGACGAACCCUGGAGUGCAAAUGAUUUCAAAAAGUCAAAAGUUGUAUAAGGAUUGAUGAGGUUUCUAUAAUGACUGGUGCAAUGCAUUUUGCGUCGUGCUUUAGAUUUUUGUACAGUAUAUGCAGUUAUAUAUAUAAGAAAUUAGAAUUUAACCUAUAUAUCAUAAAUAAAUAUACUUCCAUGAUAUGGCAGGCCAGGGAUUUCAGGUAUAUCGGUAUUUAGACCAUUUUACUUUUGGUAUAUACAGUAUUUUAUUGUUAAAAUAGAUUGAAAUAUGGGUAUAAAGUAUCCUACAUUUACCCAAGAUCAAGUACCCAGGCAGACUAACGUAUUCCUGGAAUUUUUGGUACACUGGUAUAUUGAGCCAGUAUAUAUUAUCGAGUAUAAUGGUAUUCUGGCAAUGCCCUGGCUGGUCCUGAUGUAGGGGGCAGCGAAGUCUAACUUUUUUAUGUAACCAUAUAACAUUUGAUAUUGUACAUUCGCUGAUGAUUAAUCGUGUUUUAUAAAAUGCUUGUUGGAAAAAAGUGUAGAUGUGUAAUUUAUCAAAUUUUAGUGCAAUGAUUCAAAUGUGAUUUCUGUGAAAUACAUCUAAUGUAAUUCUCUGAUUGUAAAAAUAAACUUACUAUUUCAAUAUACAAUUCUUGAGUUAAUUUUAUUUGUCAUAAUUGCGGUCAUAUCAUAUUAUCCUACAUAAAUCUAUAUUCCUGUUGCAUUUCCCGCUAAUACUGUAGUAAAAUAAGAUUAUUUUUCCGUCCCGAACCAAACUUUUUUAGAUUUUUAACCGCGCCAACAUUCGCCUGAGCAUGCAAUCCUAGGCUUGACCGGGCAGCAGUCUCAUCCUUAGACCUGUUUACACUUGCAAUACUUGCAAUUAGAUGCGAAUUUCUUCUUCUGAUGUAUGUGAACGAGUGGCUGAGUUAUAAAUAUUCAAAUGAGGUCAUGAGGGCACAUAUACAGAUAUACUUCGAACACAUAACUCAUCUAUAGAGCAUUUGCACUUAUUCCCCAGGGACCAACUGGACAAAAGCCAUGUCGGCCACGUUGGUUCCUGACAAAAGAGUCUAAUUAAAAUUCUUUUGAAUUGGAACACCAACAUGGCGGCUGUGACGUCAUGUGCAAAUGCUCUACACUCGUUCACCAUCCUCGUACCCAGGGUCUUGCCGUGGCACCGAGUAUGAGAGAAAAUAGCCUGGGUACGAGGUUGCUCGUUCACAUGAAUCAGAAGAAAAUCGCACGAAGCCUAAGAUAUUAUAUAGACUGACGAAGG